UUAAGUUCAGCGGGUAGUCCUACCUGAUUUGAGGUCAAAUUCAUCAGGUCAACAUCUGUUGGAAGCGGUGCAAUCUGUUCAUGCAGCAAUACCAGAGGCAUAGAUAGAUUUAUCACGCCCACAGCAGCCAGCUCAGAUACCGCUAAUGCAUUUCAGGGGAGCAGACAAGAAGGUGCCUGCAAAGAACCACCCCCACCAUC
rnacentral:misc_RNA from 1 species